AUGUAUGUAUGCAUGCUAGUGUUGUCAAGACUGACCAAGUAUGUCAUAUCGACAGCCACAAAUGUUUUGCUGGCUGAGAUGAAACCAUGCGACGUCCAUCACAAGACAAGAGUAAGAGACUCAAGGCAAUUGCUUGAGGCCGCACAGAAUUUUAGGGGCUACAUUUGGUUUCCACGGAGACUUUGGAAGAUCUCCAUGAUCGCCAUCUGUGCUCCUGGGUGCCUAAACAUCAGCAGCAAUAUUUUGCACCAUCAUUCUAUACGCAGGGAGGACAAACAUUAUAUAGACCAGAUGCCAACACAGCCCUGA
rnacentral:rRNA from 1 species